AAAUUGAAGAGUUUGAUCAUGGCUCAGAUUGAACGCUGGCGGCAGGCCUAACACAUGCAAGUCGAACGGUAACAGGAAGCAGCUUGCUGCUUUGCUGACGAGUGGCGGACGGGUGAGUAAUGUCUGGGAAACUGCCUGAUGGAGGGGGAUAACUACUGGAAACGGUGGCUAAUACCGCAUAACGUCGCAAGACCAAAGAGGGGGACCUUCGGGCCUCUUGCCAUCAGAUGUGCCCAGAUGGGAUUAGCUUGUUGGUGAGGUAACGGCUCACCAAGGCGACGAUCCCUAGCUGGUCUGAGAGGAUGACCAGCCACACUGGAACUGAGACACGGUCCAGACUCCUACGGGAGGCAGCAGUGGGGAAUAUUGCACAAUGGGCGCAAGCCUGAUGCAGCCAUGCCGCGUGUAUGAAGAAGGCCUUCGGGUUGUAAAGUACUUUCAGCGGGGAGGAAGGUGUUGUGGUUAAUAACCACAGCAAUUGACGUUACCCGCAGAAGAAGCACCGGCUAACUCCGUGCCAGCAGCCGCGGUAAUACGGAGGGUGCAAGCGUUAAUCGGAAUUACUGGGCGUAAAGCGCACGCAGGCGGUCUGUCAAGUCGGAUGUGAAAUCCCCGGGCUCAACCUGGGAACUGCAUUCGAAACUGGCAGGCUUGAGUCUUGUAGAGGGGGGUAGAAUUCCAGGUGUAGCGGUGAAAUGCGUAGAGAUCUGGAGGAAUACCGGUGGCGAAGGCGGCCCCCUGGACAAAGACUGACGCUCAGGUGCGAAAGCGUGGGGAGCAAACAGGAUUAGAUACCCUGGUAGUCCACGCCGUAAACGAUGUCUACUUGGAGGUUGUGCCCUUGAGGCGUGGCUUCCGGAGCUAACGCGUUAAGUAGACCGCCUGGGGAGUACGGCCGCAAGGUUAAAACUCAAAUGAAUUGACGGGGGCCCGCACAAGCGGUGGAGCAUGUGGUUUAAUUCGAUGCAACGCGAAGAACCUUACCUGGUCUUGACAUCCACGGAAGUUUUCAGAGAUGAGAAUGUGCCUUCGGGAACCGUGAGACAGGUGCUGCAUGGCUGUCGUCAGCUCGUGUUGUGAAAUGUUGGGUUAAGUCCCGCAACGAGCGCAACCCUUAUCCUUUGUUGCCAGCGGUUAGGCCGGGAACUCAAAGGAGACUGCCAGUGAUAAACUGGAGGAAGGUGGGGAUGACGUCAAGUCAUCAUGGCCCUUACGACCAGGGCUACACACGUGCUACAAUGGCGCAUACAAAGAGAAGCGACCUCGCGAGAGCAAGCGGACCUCAUAAAGUGCGUCGUAGUCCGGAUUGGAGUCUGCAACUCGACUCCAUGAAGUCGGAAUCGCUAGUAAUCGUGGAUCAGAAUGCCACGGUGAAUACGUUCCCGGGCCUUGUACACACCGCCCGUCACACCAUGGGAGUGGGUUGCAAAAGAAGUAGGUAGCUUAACCUUCGGGAGGGCGCUUACCACUUUGUGAUUCAUGACUGGGGUGAAGUCGUAACAAGGUAACCGUAGGGGAACCUGCGGUUGGAUCACCUCCUUACCUUAAAGAAGC
rnacentral:rRNA from 4 species